UUAGGAUAAGAUAUAUUGAGUAAAUGAAAAUGGUAAGAAAUUUUGUUGUCCAAAGAUGUUGUGACACCUAACAUGGAUGACACACUAAAAAAAAAAGGUAAUUAGGGUUUUGGACACCUUUUCUUCAGUGUACAUAUAUAUAUAUAUAUAGCAAAACAUAUCAGGUUCUAUAGUCAUCCUGGAAAGACACGAACGUAGCCGCCUAAACUUCUCUGACUCAUUGUUGAAGAUCGAUGAAGCAGAUCCGAAGGCGAGAAUGGUGGUAAUGAAGAUCUCAUUUUACUAGCACAUGUACGAGAAGAAGGAAUCAAUUCAGGCAAGACACUGUUAAAAUUUUCGAUCAAAUAUCUUAUAUACUUGUCUCAAACCAUUUAACUUUUAUUGAUUUAUUUGUCAGAUCUAGACCAAGCAAGCAAACAAAAGCUAAAAGAAUUUCCAAUGGUUCAAACUGUCAAUAUGUUUAGCGAAAUUCACAGUACAAAUUCGAUUUGGUUGAUUAUUAAUCCUUUUUUUUUGUUUUAUAUUGUUAGCUGAAUCACGAGUUUCUUUUGACACUAACCCGUUGAAGCCACUUGGAGAUCUGCUUGAACGUGAGGGCCUUUUGACACAAAGGUAAUUUCUUGCUAUACUUUUUUUAUUUUCUUACUGUUGAAUUCGGGAAGGGACAAACAUGUACACAGAUCGUUGUUAAUUUGUUGCAUGGGAUUAGAAUACAACAAGAGUUUAAGUAAGGUGAAAAGUAUUAGGCGUUAGAAAGAAAGCGUUGUCAUGCUAUUUCAAUCAAAAACAAGGUAACUGUUUGGUUUUUUGCUAUACAUUGGUUCAUAUAGAUUUGUCUCGAAUAUGUGAUGAGAGCAAUUCAUUUGAAGUCCUUUGAUUACAGGGUGUUGAAUCUUCUAUACUAUACAAGUUGAGAGGAGAAGAGUUGUUAGACCAAGCAAGCAAACAAAAACUAUACGAAUUCUCCAAUGGAUUACAUUGUUGACAAGAUAAGGGUAACGAUACAGAUUUCAAUAUAAUCGAUCUGGGAUCAAAGUGGACAUAAACUACGAGCUAUGUCGGGAAAAAGUGACAGAAGUUAUACAUUGUGC